rnacentral:rRNA from 1 species
UACGAAGGGGGCUAGCGUUGCUCGGAAUCACUGGGCGUAAAGGGUGCGUAGGCGGGGCUUUAAGGCAGGGGUGAAAUCCUGGAGCUCAACUCCAGAACUGCCUUUGAUACUGAAGAUCUUGAGUUCGGGAGAGGUGAGUGGAACUGCGAGUGUAGAGGUGAAAUUCGUAGAUAUUCGCAAGAACACCAGUGGCGAAGGCGGCUCACUGGCCCGAUACUGACGCUGAGGCACGAAAGCGUGGGGAGCAAACAGG